AUGCGGAAGUACCACUUUAUCACACAAAAACGCAGUAAAAAGCAGAGGCUCUGAUCCAGCUUUGCUGCCUGGAAAAAGAAUGACUGUCAUAGACAACAAAGUUCUGGAUCUCGUCGACAAGAAUUCCACUCUCAACUCUGCAAAGAUUAGACUUUACAUUUAGUCUGCCAUUACCCUCUGACCUCAGUGAAAAGGAUGAAGGUGACCAGGUAUUCUCAUUCUUCAACCAAAGCAUGGCCACGGUUUUGAAUGGGCUGCUGCAUCCUCUGCCAGGGUGUGAUGCAGCAUCUGGAUUCUACUUGCUUCCGUGGUGAUUGGCAGAACCUCGCCGUUUCUUCCGGAAGAAAUUGCCAUUGCUGAUUCGGCAUGAAAUCACAUCCAAGAACAAUCCAGGGAACAGAAUCCAUUUGAGAUAAAGAAGACACCUUUCAUAUCAGUAACUGGAAGACAGUCAAGGAAACCUCUCUGAGAUCCUGCAUGGAGCCCCACAUACAGCUUCCUGUUCCACUGGAAUCAGAGGCAGUUGGGGGAAAGUCUCAAAUCAUCACAUGGAGAAACAACCUCUACUACUUUUAAAUUCUUCUGAAGUGACUAACUUGAUGGUUGGAUAUGUGCUUCACACAUGUUCAGCAUUACAGUAGAGUAAUAAAUAACUAUGUUGUAAAGAUUUCCAAGGAUCAGCUUCUGCACUGCAUAGUUAUUAAUAAACCAAUAAAAUGUAA
rnacentral:lncRNA from 1 species